rnacentral:sRNA from 1 species
GCCGGGUGUGGUGGCAUACACCUGUAAUCCCAGCAACUCAGGAGGCUGAGGCAGGAAUAUUCCAAGUUUAAGACCAGCCUCAG